ACAAAGGUUUGGUCCUAGCCUUAUUAUCAACUGUUUCUCAACUUACACAUGCAAGUCUCAGCACACCCGUGAGAACGCCCUUUAAACCUUCACCAGGUCAAGGAGCCGGCAUCAGGCACAACCAUUUGCCCACAACACCUAGUCUUACCACGCCCCCAAGGGUCUUCAGCAGUGAUAAAUCUUGCGCAUAAGCGACAGCUAGACUCAGUUAGAGAAAAGAGAGCCGGCUAAUUCGGUGCCAGCCGCCGCGGCUACACCGCGAGGCUCAAGUUGAUGAUUUUCGGCGUUAAGCGUGAUUAAAGUUUUUUAAAAUUAGAGUCAAACUGAUACUUAGUAGUUAUAAGCUUGCUAUCAAGAAGAACAUAAACGAAAGUUACUCUAAUUACUUUACUUGAAUACACGACAGC
rnacentral:rRNA from 1 species